CAGUAGCCACGGUAAUACGGAGGGUGCAAGCGUUAUCCGGAUUUAUUGGGUUUAAAGGGUCCGUAGGCGGAUCUGUAAGUCAGUGGUGAAAUCUCACAGCUUAACUGUGAAACUGCCAUUGAUACUGCAGGUCUUGAGUAAAUUUGAAGUGGCUGGAAUAAGUAGUGUAGCGGUGAAAUGCAUAGAUAUUACUUAGAACACCAAUUGCGAAGGCAGGUCACUAAGAUUUAACUGACGCUGAUGGACGAAAGCGUGGGGAGCGAACAGGAUUAGAUACCCCUGUAGUCCCUGUCUCUUAUAC
rnacentral:rRNA from 1 species